rnacentral:rRNA from 1 species
GAUGAACGCUAGCGACAGGCCUAACACAUGCAAGUCGAGGGGCAGCACGGUGUAGCAAUACACGGGUGGCGACCGGCGCACGGGUGAGUAACGCGUAUGCAACCUGCCUACUACAAGGGGAUAACCCGUUGAAAGACGGACUAAUACCCUAUAACACAGGGAAUCCGCAUGGAUAUAUUUGUUAAAGAUUUAUCGGUAGUAGAUGGGCAUGCGUUCCAUUAGCUUGUUGGUGAGGUAACGGCUCACCAAGGCAACGAUGGAUAGGGGAACUGAGAGGUUGAUCCCCCACACUGGAACUGGGAUACGGUCCAGACUCCUACGGGAGGCAGCAGUGAGGAAUAUUGGUCAAUGGACGAGAGUCUGAACCAGCCAAGUCGCGUGAAGGAAGACGGCCCUACGGGUUGUAAACUUCUUUUGUAAGGGAAUAAAUAGUCUUACGCGCUAAGACGUUGCAGGUACCUUACGAAUAAGGAUCGGCUAACUCCGUG